rnacentral:rRNA from 1 species
AUGUCCGCCCUCGUCUCCAACGCUCAAAGUGCUUUCAUCAAAACACGGAGCAUCCACGACAACUUCAUGUAUGUUAGAAACCUUGCCUGUCACCUGCACAAGAGCAAGACUCCCUCUCUCUUAUUCAAGCUGGACAUCCGCAAGGCCUUUGACUCUGUCAAAUGGGAGUAUUUGCUUGACCUCCUCCGGAGGCAAGGUUUCCCAAGCAAAUUUCGGGAGUGGAUUGUGGCUCUGCUAUGCUCCUCAUCUUCGAGGAUCCUCUUGAAUGGGGUGGUCGGUACCCCCAUCAAGCAUGGACAGGGACUACGGCAAAGGGACCCCAUCUCUCCCCUCCUUUUUGUCAUAGUUAUUGACCUGUUG